CUGAGGGCACCGGACAUGGCUUUGUGCUGUUCAUGUCCUGAGGCCUUGUUGCUGUCCUGGAACUGAUGGCUUCCAUUGUGUUUCUCUGCCAAAUAGCCAUCAUCUUCUGAAGGAGAUGUCAAAAUAUUGAUGCCUCCUAAAUUCUUUUAAAAAUGCUCUUGCCUGCACAUCCCAUGCGUGACAGCAAGUUGGUGGGCAGCUGGCCAGCUGGAGCCCCUGCACCACCCGUCUUUGUAUAACCUUUUCUUUUGUUUUCCUGUAUUUGAAAGGAUCCAGAAGCCAGGAUCGUAUGGUGCCUGUGAGUGAGGCUGCUACUGCGCCGUAGAGGCCUGUCAGAAAGGCUCUGACAGGAAGAAAAUAUGUUUUCUGCAGCCCCUGGCUUCCUGCCAGCUGCACGAUAGCUGCCACGGAGACAGGAGCCCAGACGGUCCUAAUACAUCAUAAUAUUAGUUCUGCUGCUGGAGACUACAGGCAGACCAGUGCGAAGGGGAUGUGCACUGCAGCUGUGCACUCCAUCCUGGUUCAGAGGUUGGGAGAUUUCAGCCACCAGAGGAACAAACUAACAGUGUCUCAGCACUUCUGUAGUUCCUGCCUGGAGCCUGCACAACAACUUCGAGGUCAUACCUAAUUUUUUUUUGCCCCCUCCUAUUUGCUCUGCUUCCCCUCAGGCCUCAUACAGACGUACUUUCCUCCCAGCAGUGUCAGAGCAGACUGGAAAGCAUCGACUGGUGUUUAAGACAAGGUGCCCACUGCAGAAAGGAUCUAGAGGAACCUGCUCUGCACAUCACUCCAGCUUCCUCCACCCUAGGCAAAGAACGACUUGUAGGAGCUUUUCCCAUGGUUUGAGUAAAAUCCCAUUAAAAGGCCACCAGAGGGGGUAGCUUCCUCUGCUGCAGCAAAGACCCAGAGAGCGGGCGCCAGCAUGGCACACAUUACCGCUAUUAUUUAUAGCGCUCUACCUAUACUUAUGCAAGUGGUGCUAAUUAGUAGAUGGAAUUAGCCAACUGCUCUCGGCAGCAUAAUUGUAAAUAAUUUCCUAACGUUUCACUCCCUCAGUAAUGAGUUUCUCCUGGAAACACAAAAGAUGAACUACUGAUAAUCUGGCAGUUUCCAGCAAGAUGACAGACAUUAAUUACAUGAGAUUAGGAUGUGAUCCUCCACUUUACGUCAGUUUGGGAUUUCUAGGCAGAGCUGAAUCUUAGGACUUACUGGACUCUUGUCAAUAGCAUUUUAUGAACCGUUGUUUGUUUGUUUUUCUGUGAUUUUAAGCCGCCUUUUAGCUUUACUUUUUCCCACACACCUAGCCACCAUCAACUAUUUUGCAGACAGAACUGCUGGGCCCGAUUUUCUGAUAAGGUAGUCCUGUAAUUAUGCCUGAAAAGCAGGUAAAGAGUCAAGAUAAUUUGUAUUUAAAAAUGACUGUGCCAACAGGCCGGCCCACUGAGUGUUCAGGGAUGGAGCCAGGCACUGGUUGCCUUUAUGAUCAGGCAGAUAUUUACUGAAGCAUGGGAUGUCAGCUCCAGGAGAGCGGUGCCAAUGAUGGCAGGAAGGAAAAUAAUCACUGACUGAGGUCAUGUCAGCAAACUGGACCUUAUCUUUGUUGUUUUUCAAGGGGCUCUGCUGACUGCUGAAGGCCGUUGGGAACUCCCUUUGAGUUAAGGUGCGAAUGCUGGAGCUGAGGUGGAAUCCCAACCACAUGGAGAAGCUCCAUCUGCUGAUGCAGCUGUGAUUCAACAAGAAUUUUCUCAGGUUCCUCUUAACCUAGUGCUGACCAAAUCCCUUCUUCAGGAAGGUCGCAGUUGUCACUCACGCAGGUAUGAAACCAGGAGCAAGGAUACAGACUUAAGCUAAAGAAGUUCCUUUUUUAAAUUUCUACCUGAUGCUCAGUCGUUCUUAUGAAUUCUGAAUCAGACAUUGGGUAGUUUCCACAUUUGUAGGAAAAUGGAAUUUGGUGCAUGGUAAUCUUGCUGUUUUCUCCGUGUUCACUAGUUUUCUAUAAAUAAUACAAAUGCAUGAUAAUCACCACUGGAACUGUUCGCUAAAACAAGAAAGGAGACAUUAUUCAUUAAAAUAGAAAGAUAUUCAUAGACACUUGCUGGAACAAAAUCCCCGAGCAUCAGGAUAUUCAGAAACACUGUUUGCUUUCUGAGCAUUUGCAAACAGCCGGUUUCUGUUCCUGCUGCUGCUGCUGUUUGCUGCUGUGCCAUCUUGGGAGUGGAACGAUGUCUUCUAAUUUCCCCACCUGUGCCUUGGGAUGACGACCCUGUGCCAUGUUCAUGGUGCUCCACCUCCCUCCUGGUGGCCUGUGAGCUCCUAGCACAACGCCUGGGUGCAGCUUAACCGCUUGCUUUCGGGUCCCACCAGGACACUCUGGUGCUGAUAGCAUGUGGGACCUUCUUCCCUUCCAGUGCUGUGCUGGCAUCCUCACGUUUGGCAUGAUUUGGCUAAGUGCUAGAGGUCAGUGCUCAAACUAUCCUACAUGUGUUGGUGCUCGAGUCCUGCUGAUUUAAAAGGGAGUUAAUGGUUUAAAUGCCUUUGAAAAUCUGUGCCUCGGAGCCUGAACUGCACAAACUCAGCCUCAAUUACCAAAUUCAGCCAUCAGUAUUUAAAGCAGAGCACAGCUAGGUGAACAAGGAUAUCCUACUCCAGCCUCAGGGGCUGAGGUUCAACAGUUGUCACCAUUUAUAUUUCCUGAAAGCCACUGGGACCUUUACAUUGACCAGCAGCACUGAUGCUCCCAGCUGCUUCAGAUGUGUGCUGUCACCCGAUGCUGCACUCCAGGGCUGCCCACAUUUCCUACAAGUUCCACAGCCUCCAUCUGCACGGGCAAAUCAUGGUGUUAUUCUCCCUCCCUGCAACUUUUCAAUCAGCAGAAACAUCUCUCACCUCACUUCACCUAAUUAACUGUCAGGAGUUGAUCUUUGGGCUGAAAUUGGUAUCUGAAGUAGUAAUGUGUGAACAAGCUUUACUGAUGGAUUUUGUUAUUUAUUGGUAAGCAGAAUGCAAACUGACAAAGAGCUGGUUCAGCUGAAGGUUACUUCAUCUAUUUGUUUCUGUUAUUGUUGUUUUUUCUUUAAUGUAAUAACUUGAUAUUGAAUUAAUUUGUUUACCAGGCUAGCCUUAGCCACAUCCCUCCUUUGAGGGCAAUUUUAUGGAACCCUAACAAUUAAUAAUAAGAGCAGUCUGUAAACGCACUGCCCUCCUUCAUUCUCCAGCCAUCCUUCAGCCCCCGUGCAGGUCAGCGAGCCCCACGCCGUGUCUCACCACGAGCUGCUCAGAGUGCUGCCAGGCUGUAAGGGUUUGGGCUGAGAGCAUCUGCAGAAAAAUUCUGCAGCUGCUUUGGUUGGGAAAAAGACUUCAGAGAAAGAACACAAAGGGAGAUGUGUUGUUUUACUCAUCCUAGCUGACAAAAAAAGCCCAGCAAUCUGUCCACUCAGAAGGUCCUCCUUGCUUUAGGGCUGGGAUUUGAAACUUCCUUUGAGGUUUUUCUUGUUUUGAAUCUACACUGAAUGUGUCCCCUCCACGCAUUCAGAAUAAUGGAGAUGAGUUGCUGUGAAUGCUGACUCCCAGUUUUGUUUGCAUAGGUGUGCUCAGGUGCUACAGGAGGAGUGUAGGACACCGCAGACCUGCAGAAAGCAAACGCAGGCACAGGGCAGAGCGCUCUCCCCUGCCCUUAUGGGCCCUUUGCUGAUGCUCAGGCAGCAUGUAAUGAGAAGUUACCAGCUUCCUCUUCCAUGCAUCCCACAUCCUGUGGUUCCACAGGGCAGUGGCUGGGGAUGGGGGUUUGUGCAGUUUUUCCAUCUGCUCCCUCAUUUUGAGCCUGUUUCUUCUGGCUGGGGACACCUCUUUAUCUGCGUUCUUGAGUAAGAACUCAGAUCUUCAAUGCUCGUUGCUGAAAAUAUCUCAUAAACAAGGGAAUAUUGAAAUUUUACAUAGAACACGCACAAAAAGCUGAGAUCUUAAUUCCUAUAUCUACCCACUGGCAUUUAAUAUUAUCUCCUAUCUUCUUCCACUUGCGUUCCCUUUCCUUAUCUUAUGCUCAUCCUGAAAGUACCUAAUAUCUAAAUUGAUUGUGUUUUGGUUGUAUCUAGAUGAGAACAGACCAAUUCCAGAAGAUGAGCUCUCAGUUCAUUAUAUGUCUUCUUAAUUGGACUUAUUUGGAGUUAGAAAGCCAAAUAUUCUACUGGCAGAAACUGUUGACACUAGAGGAACAUUUGGCCAUCAAAAUCAUGUGCUUUUUAUUGCUGUGUGUUAUUUAUUAGCUCAUAUAGCACCUUUAAUUAAAUGUCGCUGCACAGUGAUGUAUAUCCAUUAAUUUUGCAUUAAUGCACACCCCAUCAAGUGCAUUCUGGAGCCUGGCACUGGGAUGCUGGGGAGUCUUGCUUCAGAUACCAACUCACUCUGACCUUAGGUGUGUCUGUGAGAGGGUGGGUUGAUGCUUCCUGCCCCGAAUGAUGCACAGCAGCACUUGGAGAUCUUUUGGAGAAAGCGCAGUAUGAAAACAGUAUUUAAAUCUGGAUGGAGUUGUUUGAUAACCUUUGGCCUUCUGGAUGCUGAAUGCUUUUCCAAAUAAAGACUCAACAUGUGUAAAGGAGGACACAAAGGUCUGCAAAUAUUUGCUUAUGCUUUUAGAAGCUCUCCAGGCACAUUUGCAGAGCAAAGUGCUGCGCUAAAGCAGCAGAAGGGCUGGCAGAGGUAGAGCACAGCAGUACAGAGCAGGAUCCCAAACAGUGAAAAGAGAAAUUUUUUUUGCAUGAUGAAGAUGCAGCCCUGCCUCUCCCAGGUUUGCUCCCUUGUUGCAGGAACUCGGACAGGUCAGGUUUGCUUUGUGGAGCUGCCCUCGUUAAAAAAAAAAAAAGGUGAAAUUCUUGUACAGCUAUUCUGUGGCAGGAGAAUUUCAAAUGUGCUAUGUUCAUGUCCACGAAGAUGCUGGAGGAAGAGUGCCGUGUGGGCAGAGAGCUGGGGACAUUUGGAUAGAGGGCGAGCAGCGGGGCAAUAAAUGGCCAUGGUAAGUUCAUUGACGUUUGUGCUGGCUCGACUGGCUGCGUGCUUAUGGAUUGUCUGCCUGCCUAAUGGAAAAUAAGUGUUUAUUUCACUUUUGUUUAUGGUCAGUAUCUCCCAAGAUUCGUUUUCUGGCUGCUGUGCGUUACUCUAUGCUAUGUUGUUUGGAUGUGGAAGUAAUGAGAUAGUAAUUCACCCUCUUGAAAUACCGCUCGAAAUCCUGGUCCUCCUGAGCACCAUGCAUAGAUACCACAAACCCUUGGAGGGCUGGGACUUCAUCCCCCCUGCUGAAUAUCUCAUCUUUAUUGAACCUGGAGAGCUUUCUAAUAAAAAUGUGCAUCUGAAUCAGCCAUCGGGCAGUCGGAAUGGUCUUUUGGCUCUGGUCUGGCAUCACAUCGAGGGGCUGGGGUGUCCCAGCAUCUUCUGAGCAGCACAGGAGGCACAGCAGCCUCUGGGGAAGGUGCUCCAGCCCCACUGUUUGUCAGACCUGCUGGACGCACCGAUUCUUGCCAACUGAGGAUCCAGUAUGUGCAGUCUGGUUGAGCUUUGAUUUCUGCUCAGAUUCCACCUUCCGUUAGCUCUCCGGGAGCAUUUCUUUGACAGGAGAAAUUUUUCACUCUCUUCAAAAAAAAAGCAGCUGCGUUUUGGGUGAAGCUGCCACGUUCAGUACAUCUGCACACCCGCAUGCACUGCCAGGCAUGCACAGAGCCUCAUUUUGCAUAAUUACAUUGGUUUUUAACCAUGGCAAUAUAUUCAGAUCUUCAGACACCCGGCUGUCAGAUCCAGCUCUCUAACUGCCACCCUGCAGGAAAAGCAACUGCAUCAGAGCAAAGGCAGUGGUGAAGAGCUCAAGGUGCCUUCAAGCAGGGCCAUGGGGGCAGCAGGAGCCUUUUGGGUUGACCACGGCAAAGGGGGAAGCCACCCAAACUGGCUGUCAAAGCAAACCUCAGGUGGUCAAGAAUAAUUGGGAAGUACCUCCAGCAAAGGAAAAUGAACUUUAAUGGAUGAGUUGAUCCUUCAUCUUUCAGUUUGUGGUGAUGGAUCUGCUUGUUGAGGUUCCUCAGCCUCCAGUGCCAAAGUUCUUGGUCUGAGUAAGGAGGAGGCAGAAGCUCUGCAGCUAAGUGGAAGGGUGAAAAAACAAAAAUAAAACAAAAGCAGCCACUUACUACUUCCCCUACCCAGCUUCUUUCCCAUGCAAACCAGAAUGCAAUGAUUCUCCCGAGCUUUCUCCCUUCUGCCCACUUGGGCUGAGCAAUGGACAAUUUGAUCUCCUGCUCUCAGCACUGCUUUUAAGAAAGGCCAUUUCUGAAGGAGCAGUCCUGCCCAACAGUAAUUACACUUUCCAAUGAAUAGUUCCUUGUUGUUGGAUCCUGGUGUACUUCACUGAAUUCUGAUGCUGUUCGCUGCAGACCGGCUGAGGACGCGAGUGACUUGAGAUCUGCCAGGGCUGAUGCAGGGAGGACUGAUCCUGCUCCAGGGCAAGAAAAUAAACGAGGCAAUCUCAUGAGGCCCCUCAGGCCCUGAGCUCCCGCUAUGCAGGAGUCACACACAUGCCUAUCUCUUUAUAUUUAACAAUACUGAAGAAAAAGCCCUGUCCUAUGACAGUGAAACGGCACUGCUGCGAAGCUGAGAAAACAUCAUUCUUCUGCAGAAAUUAAGUAGAAAAAUGCAGCUGUCUGCUCUUCAGAGUUUUUAAGGACACUGGAAGAUAGUCUUCUUUCUUUCCUCAUGUGGUCCAAGAGCUGAAGUCACUUAAAUGAGAAACUUCAGAAAGUUAAAAGAGGGAAAAUAUUUUGCUGAUUUUUCCUUUUUUCCUCUUUGUUUUUUUUUAAUAAAUGCCAUUGGCGUACAAUAGACAUGAGGAACCAUAAUGCUGUCUUUCCCUCUCAUCUCCAUUCAAAAAAAAAAAGCAAAAAAAAAAGGAAAACAUUUAGGGAUGGAGCCAGAGCAUGAUCUUGAUUACUGCAUCCAGAUGUAAUGCUGAAGUGAAUCUCGUGCUGUAAAUACAACAGUUUCAGGCUCCCACUUGUGUAACAGAGAUAAAAAUCUAACACAGGGGCUCCAAAAAGCUCUCCUGCACCUUCCAAGGCUCAGUCGGGCCCACAUGCAAAGUCCAAAAUAAACUGAAUUUACUGGAAAAUCCCCAAGAUUAUGUCUAGAGCGAUUCCAAGACUUUUCUGCUUUCCAAUUCAAAUGAGCCCUAUUACACAUCAGGAAUGUCUGGAGGAGAAAUACAGCCUGUUUCAUAAAGCCUUAUUAUAUAUUUUAAUGCACACAGUGUAAACAUGAACAUGUCUCCUGGAUAUUUUGUUGUUUCAGUUUUAUAAUUCUGUGUGCUCUUCGGUUACUUACUUAGUAAAAAUCUUCAGGAAAAAAAAACACUUUUGUGAUAUUUAUUUUUUCUCCACGAAGGCUACAGCUGCUGAUCCCAACUGUGCUUCAUGGGCGUGUUUCAGUCAUUCAGUUAACUUUGAUCUGACGGAGGUGUAACAGAUUGGGAUGAGUCAAGUAGUGCCAUUGAAGAAAGACACGAAACCCAGGCGACGAUAACCUUGUGGCGGGCACUCAUCCACCCCCAAAAUGAUGUUAAACUCUUUGUUGGCUUCGCAUAACGUACAUCGGCAGUUAAGAGCACCCUUAGGCCUCUUUUCCAUCACCAAUGGACGUCCAGAAGUUGUGUAUGUCCUUGCUUUGCCGUGCAUCACAGAUGACCCUACAGGCCUCUCCUGCUCUACCCCCCGCACUGUUAGCACGCAGUGCCUGUCUGAGAAGGGCCACCUAUUGCCAAAGGCUCAGACACGGACCUUCACACCAGACCCAGACUGAGAACAGGCUACAGAUGCCUGCUUUUGCAGGUUGGAUGAAGCAGAUCUGGUCAGGCUUCUCCUGUUGCCUCCCUCAACUCUCUGCAGCUACCUUUGCUGUGUCCUUCACACCACGGCAAAAGCCAGGUCCACGAAUGGAAAAAGCCAUGGGUUUCGUGAGGACCUGUAGUGCGUGGUUUAGUUCUUGGCUAAAGAAAGAGGGAAUUUCGAAUUCUUCCAGGAAUGGAUAAAGACAAGAAGAAAAUCCAAGCAGGUUUGCUCAGAUCAAGGAACCCUGCAGCAUAAUCCCACAUCACUCUGAGGCAAAAGGUCAGGCUGGCCCUUUCCCUAGUGAGUUGACAUCAAGGUAGUGGUGCCCAUGAACCAGCAUAUUUCUUUCAUCUGACAUGAACAAAGAACAGAAAAAAUUCUGUUUAAGACAUUUAUGCCUCAAGGACCCAAUUCCUCCUUCAUAUGACACAAAGAAAAACUUUCAACCUGGCAUCUCAAUCAGAGCGAUACCAGAAACAAAAUACAUGUUCCUCAAGCACUAAGGUAGUGGAAGAUAGUGCUAGAAGGACAUGCAGAUAAGUCAGUGCAGCUGUCACAGGGCCCUGCAGGCGCAUACAGGCCCUAAUCACCCUGAAGAGCUUUGGCUGGGCCCCGGGGCUGUGUUAGACUCAGGCCCUUGGCCUCGUUCUUCUUUUGAGCCGGGCUGUGUUGUGCUGUGUCUGCCUUUGCUCCUUGCUGCCUCCAGUGUGGCUGCUUGGGGUGGCCUUGGCACUUCCUUACCCCAUGGGUUUGUGUGGUGGUGGCUGGACGGGGCCAGGCCGGGGAUGGUAGCUGUCCCCUGGGUUCCAGAUGGGAAAGUGACAUUUUGGCCAAAAUGCAAUAAGGCUGUUAACGCAUUUCUGGCACUGAGCUGAGCACGGGGUGCUUCUGCUGUGCCUUGGUGCCAUGGAAGGCUGGUGACCUUUUAACACGUUCCCUUUUAGCAGCAAUCACAUUGCUUAGACAACUUCUUAGACGUGAAAUAAUGCCUUUUUCUUUCAGGAGCAGAAAGGUACAGUACCAGGGCAUUCAAACAUCUGUUUCAUUUUGCAUUUUCAAUUCUAACUCAGAUAAUGGGAGCUUUCACAUCACAGGAAAGAAAAAACAGCAAGAGUCCCCAUUAUUUACCAAUCUACAGAGGUAUGAAUCACAGAGCUGGUAAAGCCCCAUGCCUGUGUGAUUUGGGUCUUAUGGGUUAUUAGUAUAACCGGCUCGUGAGGCUCUUUUUUAACAUGCAAAUGGAAAUGCUUUAUUUAUUGUGGGUGGGACUGAUUCCCCUCCAGAGGGGUCCCCGUUGAACCUAGCAUUACUUGCACCGAUCGCAGGAGGAGGGGUGUGAUUUCUUUAGUCCCAUGAAGCCCUUCUUUAAAGCUCAGCUUCGUGUUCUCUGCCGCUGAGCUCCCUUGCAGGCUGGUAGUUACUGUGGCACUAACAGCUUCAGUAGGAGCUAAAGGGCUUGUGGGGCUGGGAAAGCUAAAUACCAUGGUCUGUGUGCCUGCUUAGUUGUACUGAAGCUGGUGCUACAGGCAGUGCUGCUCAGACUGUGAUUUGUAAGGGCAUUUCAGUGGAUGUUGGCAACGUAAAGCAUUACUCUUCUAAGAAGCAAGGAUUUCUUCUUGUUCCUUUUCAAGCUCCCUGAGCAAGUUGGAGUCCUGCAGCAUGAAGUCUUUCCCUUUGCUUUUGGGGACCGCUGGGUUUGCCCCCAGCCAGCAGAGGCAUGAAGACACAGCACGGUGCAGUUGGUCAGUGGAAGGCAGGGCUGAUCUCCCUACCUGCAGGCUAGUCAUGCUAAUUAACUGUAUCUUUUUUCAGGAUGCUCCUAUCUCAAAAAGAAGUUUAGUCACUGUAUUGUGAUUAAGAGUUCCUCUACUUAAUCAGGCUCCGCCUGUCCCACCUCUGCGGUCCUUGUGCCAAUGCUGACUGCCUUGUUACUUGGAAUUGCUGCAGAAAGUCCAGAAGGAUUCCAGGAGAAGCGUUGAUUCUCCACCGAACAUAUGGAGAGGUGGAAAUGGUGCUCCUCGGCCUAUCUGCCAUUUGAUGCUCAGGAAGGGAGGAAGGAAGGAAAACCAAACGUUUCUGUGCCGAGGGGUUUCUCCAGCCUUAUCACGGCCUCGCUUCCUUUGCUAGAUGUUCUCUGAAGCGGUGGAAGAGGGGAGCUAACUCCGUGUUUUCCUCUCAGGGUAAAUAAGAUCAUGGAUUUCUGCGGGUGGUCUUGGCACUGGCGCAGUCUUGUUGGCUUCUUCUAGAAACUGGAAUUGAGCUCAGCUCCAGCUCUGAUUUUGUAGAUAUAGAAACAGAACUUUGGUGCAAAUGCUUCUGAGCCUCUGCUGCUUCAUACACUCCUUUGGAGGUCUGGUUAAUGCUCCAAAGCGCAGCGCUAACCCCAUCGUAAAGCACGUAGUUAAUGACUGCUAGUAAAAAAUGGUCUUUAUUUUCUCUAUGUUCCAUAUAUAUGUCUUAUGAAGGACUGCUGGGGUGAGGUGUAGGAUGGAGAACUGGAAUUAAUAUGGAUGUGCUCCAGCAUGGAUUGGGGCAGUGAAGGGAUGGCGGUGGCUGGGGAGCCUGGCUGGGUGAGGAGAUGCCUUCUCCACUCUUGGCUGGCCGUCCUUCGGCCGAGCAAAUUCAGAUGUUUGAAAAUGAUGACGUCCAACUCUGGAAGUAAUUAUGCACAUUCAGUUCUCGUGGAACAGACUGAGAAUUGUUUCUGAAAAAUCCUCUGGGAAUCCAGAGGUGAAGUGGGUUAGGAGGCAGGGGGUUCUCGGGGAGUUCUGUGGGUUCAGUUCGGGAGGUAUUGAUCUGUGCAGUAAGCGUUGAAAAUUCUGAAUUUCUUCACAUAGCUGCAACCAGGAAGGAGAUCUGCUGUCCAAAAUACUGGAUUUUGCCCUGAUGUAUACAAUAUAUUUUAUAGCCCAUAGAACUAUUCACUCCUUGAGACAUUUUUCCGUGGGCCUAGCUAUAGGCCAGCUCAAAUACGUACUAAGGCCACAAUACACUGUAAGGCUGGCCCAGCAUUUCUCAUUUUAUGGCUUUUUUGCUAGUUACAACUGCAAUUUUCUGCAUUGGGAACCUGGCUCAGUCCAAAUCCUUUUUGAAAGGUCUCGGCAAAAGUGACUGAGCAAUACGUCGUUGGGAAAUGUAGUGUUUUAUGAGUGUGAAGGGUGACUUCUGCUGUUGGAAGGAGGAGAGCUGUGUGCUCUCAUCCGGGGUUUCAGGGUGUCACAGCCACAUCCGCCUGUCCCAGAGCACGCUUCGCAGAGGUGGAAGUUUUCACAUUGAGAGAAAUGGACAGUGGAGGCAGGAGGCUCAUCUUAGUAGUUCUGCUGGGCUGAAUCCAGAAAGCCAGAUGAGGCUCCUUCUGAUCAGCAAAUGUGUUUUAACUGGCUUCAGCAAACCCAGAUGUACAUCCACGGAGUUAGCUCCCCUGGAGUAAACUCUCCUGUUGUGUGCUUCCAGUCUGAAAGCGUGGUUUAGCUACAGGACCUUCUUAGCGAGCACAUCUGCUGUGCAAAUUUGUGCAGCAUCACAUCUGCCUGCAGAGGUCUGUGAGGGAGGAAAAAAAAAGGAGGUUUAAUUUCUGGCUUGCACAGUGCUAACAAAACAAAUACAAGACAAGUUACGGUUUGAAUCUACCUCGUAGACCAACACUCUUAUCCCCAUGCAACAGGCUGGUUCUGCUUUGCAGCGUAUUGUGGGGAAGUGCCAGAAGGGAGAGCUGGGCCAGAAUCUGACCCAUAGGGACUCUGCAGCCUUUUGUAUGUAAGACCACUGUGCUUUCACCAUACCCAGCAGUUCAUGUGCUGUUACACAGGUUUUCUGUAAGAAAGUUCGUAAAGAAAAAAGUAAUCUCAAGUAAUAAACUGUCUUAUGUUGCUACCAAAACUUCCACCAGCUCUCAAAUUGCGUACCUAAAGAUCAGUUUCUCUCUGACUUCUUUGUUCUGACCACGGUCCUGGUGGCAUCUCAGUAGCUUCUGUGCCAGCAAAGUCCCUAUCUGUGAUGCCGUAUCUCAGCCCUCCAGCCCACCAGCAUCUCCAGGAUGCUCCACGUUUCCCCUGCUCCCACCGCCCUCCUCAGCACCAGUGCUGGGAGCACUCACAGGAGGAUGGAGAGGAAAGGUGCCCCAUGGAGCUCUUCCUUCUGCCAUCUCUUCCCAGUUGUGUGCCUGCCCACACACCAGCGCUCCUGUGUCACUGUUUACUACUCAGGCAGUGACAGGGAAAGUAUUUUUCUCCUCCCAGGCUACAACUGCCGACAGUUAGCCUUCAGUAACAUAAUGACCAGCCAGUGUGAAACUGUUAAAAUUACCUCAUAAAUAACUCCUAAUGCUCAGAGAACUGGGAGUUGUGGCUCAUGGAUAAAUUACUCGCUGCCAUUAUGGAGCAUUAAACCAUGGCUAAUAUGGAGGUCUCCAUAGGGGCUUCAUUAAACACCAGAGGAUUCCCAUAGAUUUAACCAUUGGGGAGCUGCACAGCUCUCACUGCCUGUCAGCUCUAUCAUGUUAGAGAUAAUGCACUUCUGCACAGGAGGAGCAGGGAUACUAAUGGACAGCAAAAUGCCUCCAUAUGAGAAAAAUAAAAAAAUCCCAACGUUGUUAACACUCUGUGGCAGAAUGCUGUUUGCAGCAAGCUUUGAGUUGUCUGUAUUGUUUAGAAGUUGUUUCUUUUUGCAUGAAGACGUUAAGGGAGCUUGAUAGGAAUUAGUCUUCUUCCAGCCAAGAUGCAGGUAAGGGGUAGCAGCUCGAGCUGCCCUGCCAGCCAUGGCCAUCUCCAAAUCUCUGUAGCUGGCUUGGCUGGGAGAGAUGCGCUGCAGUGUGUUCAUUGGCUGCCUGUGGCAGAUCAGAGCUACCAGGGGCAUGUCCACCUGUGCCACCGUCGCAGCUCACAUUGCCUGGUGGAGGUACCCUCUGACAAGAUGCAUCCUCACCUACAUCUGCAUGGCCAAGCACUGACACUGGGUACCUCCACCCAGCCAUGGUUACCGAACAGUGUUAGGGAGCCCCAGGCUUCCCAUGAUCAAGGGAGCUGAGAACUGAACUCAUGCAUGGUUGGAAUCACCCCUCAGGCUCCCUCCGCUGUGGGCUGCAUUGCAGUGAUGCAGCUGCUCCUCACGCUGUGCAGGGCUGUGCAGCUUUCAGCAUGCAAAGGGUCCUGUGCACUUGUGCUUGCAGAGCACGGAUGCCCUUCUGCAGCAAAGGCCAGAAGAACAGAUGGUGCCUACCAGCUGAGAUCUGGGGAGGCUUAAUGGCCAUCAUGGAAGUAUUUAUAGCUUCUUCUUGUACAAAACUUUUGGAAUUACCACCAAUACAAACUGUAUUUCUGAACUAUGUUUUUCCA